rnacentral:rRNA from 1 species
AUGAAUAUCCUUAGUUGGAACUGCUGAGGGGGUGGGAACUCUUGGACAGUUCGUGAUCUCGUGAGCUUGGUACAGGCUCAUUCCCCUUGUAUAGUCUUUUUAUGUGAAACUAGGCAGUCAAAAGUUAAGAUGAAAAGAAUUCGAUCUCGUUUAGGCUUAAGUGGUUUCGAGGCAGUCGAUAGUACUGGUCUUAGCGGAGGUCUAGCUCUGUAUUGGCACGAGUCUGUGCAUCUCGAUGUAAAAGAUAAGAACGAACGAUACAUUGAUGCUUAUGUGUAUUCUACUGCAGGUGAGUCCCCUUGGAGGCUCAAUUGCGUCUACGGCGAGCCAUGA